GGACGCUCCGGGGGCGACCNUGGGGAGUGGCGCACGGGUGAGUAGCGCGUGGGAACCUGUCCUUUUGUGGGGGAUAACCGAGGGAAACUUCGGCUAAUACCGCAUGCGCCCCGGGAUUAGCGUCCUGGGGGAAAGAUUCAUUGCCGAAAGAUCGGCCCGCGUCUGAUUAGCUAGUUGGUGAGGUAAUGGCUCACCAAGGCGACGAUCAGUAGCUGGUCUGAGAGGAUGAUCAGCCACAUUGGGACUGAGACACGGCCCAAACUCCUACGGGAGGCAGCAGUGGGGAAUAUUGGACAAUGGGCGCAAGCCUGAUCCAGCCAUGCCGCGUGAGUGAUGAAGGCCCUAGGGUUGUAAAGCUCUUUUGUGCGGGAAGAUAAUGACGGUACCGCAAGAAUAAGCCCCGGCUAACUUCGUG
rnacentral:rRNA from 1 species